CUUGCCCAAUUUCGCACGUGCCUGUGGCCGCGUGUCGGUUGGUGGGCAUCCGGCCAACUGCCGGACAGCCGCCAGGGGUCUUAAAGGAUCGAUGGUCGACAGGGUGGAUUCCCUCCGGCCGGCAUCCAGGUGGCAACACCGGACCCCGACAACAACCGGCAGCCGGAGGCGAAACCGGCGAACCCCGCUCUCCACGGGGGACGCAGCUUAAAGCAACGACGAACGGGCUUUUUUGGUCUCGUCGGCCCUCCAAAGGCCGGCACCGAAGAGGCUUGUUUCUCUUUGCCCGGCGUGCGGUGGGGAUCUCCCUUCCAAUCCACGGCAGCUUCCGGGUGCUGAUGCGCCCGCGGUCGACGACGUGUCUCCAAAGCA
rnacentral:misc_RNA from 1 species